UACAGGAGACUGCAAGCGUUAUUCGGAUUCACUGGGCGUAAAGGGUGCGCAGGUGGCCAAGUGUGUUAGGCGUGAAAGCCCGGGGCUUAACCCCGGAAUUGCACCUAAAACUACUUGGCUAGAGCAUUGGAGAGGGGAGCAGAAUUCAUGGUGUAGCAGUGAAAUGCGUAGAUAUCAUGAGGAAUACCAGAGGCGAAGGCGGCUCCCUGGACAAUUGCUGACGCUCAGGCACGAAAGCGUGGGGAGCAAAAGGG
rnacentral:rRNA from 1 species